UCCUGGUGGGGCUGGGUUUGGACCAGGUGGGGCCGGAUCAGUUCCUGGUGGGGCUGGGUAUGGACCAGGUGGAGCUGGAUAUGGACCAGGAGGAGGAGCAGGUACAAGAGCUGGAGGGUAUGAUGCCAACGCCAAAGCCCGUAAAUAUGGUAUGUUAAGUGGAGGACUUGGAGGAGGACUAGGAGCAGGAACAGGUGGAGCUGGACCUGGUGGUGCUGGUUAUGGACCAGCUGGGAGUGGGACCGGUGGUGGGACCAGACCUGGAGCCGGGGUUGGACCUGGUGGAACCGGAACAGGAUAUGGACCCGGGGGUGGAGCCGGAACUGGUUCUGCUGGCACUGGAACUGGCCUUGGACCAGGAAGUGGAGGGGCAGGCUACGGACCUGGUCGAGGUGCUGGGGUUGGACCAGGUGGGGCCGGAUCAGUUGC